rnacentral:rRNA from 1 species
CGCUCCGGACGAGCGGCGACUAUCCGUAAGAGUGGCGCCCACUAAGGGGGAGAGGUAAAGCAGUGGAAGGGCUGGGACCAGAGGAGACGGGAUGAGGAAAAGAUCGGGAUUAGGGGUGCCUUGCCUAAGUCUGGGCGGACUAAGAGGUGGUUCGACCGCAUCCGAGGAGGGGCGACCCCGUCCCGGCACGUGGGAGGGCGGGCACGCGCGGAGGCGGCGGCUGCAGAGGCGCACGAUGCGUGGUAGGGCGGAGGCGGCGCUGAGCCGAGGCAGAGGGGUGCAGGUGCGGAGUCGCGAGGUCCAUAGCUCGGAGACUUUGGGCAGAUUUGGGGAAAAAAACCCAAACUGACUGUCGCCUCGUUGGCGACCGUGCCGCAUCGUAGGUGCGUCGGCGCCACCGUAUCGUAGCUGCGCGCCGCUCAAGCGAGGGGAGGGGAGGGGAGGGGGACCGGCGGAUGUUUUGAGCGAGCUUAGAACUCGGGCGGCUGGGAGAGAGAGGGGGUGGAGGCAGAAGAGGGUCCGAGGUCUUGGAGCAAAACGGCAGAUUCAGCGUCCUGAGCGGUCGCUUCUACCGGCCACUCUCGUCGUGGUCCGCCGGGGAGAAGCCGCCGCGGUAGAGGUGGCGGAAGGGGCAGGCCAAGGUCCUACACUCGUUGUAAGCGCUCCAGGGGCUGGUGGUCCUUCAAGAGCAACUAGGGCGGGCACUGCUCUCGGAGUAGAAGCUCGACGAGCUGGAGUUCCCGCUCCACCUCCUGCCGCCGUCGCGCGAGACCAAGGACGCGCUGCAGCGGUUGCUCGUUCUACGCCGCCUAUUGAACCACCAGCUCGUGAGACCAUGUUAGCUCGAUCGACCAGACGCUAGACCCCUUCGUGGACGUCACCGACCUUGACGUUAACCGUUCGACCGACAAAGUUUUCCCUCCGUUCCGUCUCUUCGUGUCUUGUAACAAGCUGAAAUGAACCGUUUGUAUGCAGAGUUCUUACGUCGUUGACUACAUCAAUAGUGGCGUAUACUCGGCGACAACUAUUUAGGAAACUCACUUUCACGAGUCCGGUAACGUCGACCUGGUCGUCACGGGCGCCUUGUCCGUCCUACGAACGGUUACAGGCUCCAGAAGUCUGAGCGUCAGUACUUGAAGCUACAGGUACUAACCUUGGAAAAGUUACCGUCGCCAACUUCAUCUCUCCCAUACUGUAGAGUUACGAUCUCACCAAGAUUUUUUUCACAAGACGUUCUCACAAACCCCUUACAUGAAAGGAACUCUCUUUGACCAUAGACUUAACAGGAAUUCUCAUCGAAAAAAAACAACGACUUUUACGAUAGUGAACCGUAUACAUCACAGUAGGUUUCUUGGGACCAGCUUCAAGUUAUAUAGUACAAUCGAAGAUCUUUAAUGAACUUAACUUGCUUCAUGAACGAUAAAGUAACUAUUUCUGGCG